rnacentral:lncRNA from 1 species
ACAACCGAUUUGGAAUGUCUGCCCUGCUUUUUGACAGUCUUCCCUGAGGUUGGCACUCACCAUCAUGAGCCACUCCAGACAGUAUAACAAACAUCUCCCAUCAAAUUCCACUUGUCUGAGUUGUGAGAUGGGAUAUUCAGUCCUGGGCCAGUGACAGGUUUCAUGUCCAAUGUUUUGUCAACUACCAUGACAAAAAAAUGAGUGUUUCAUGCUAUAGGGGAUUCUUGUUAACUAGCCUCAUCAGACAACAAAAGUUUUAAAUCUUAAUAUUAAACAUUAGGGUUUAUAUAUGAGCUGGUAUAGAUGAUUUAUAGUAGUUUCUAAAAGUACUCUCUGUACAAAUACUUGUAUUUUUAUAUUUAUUAUAUUUUUCUAUUUCUCUCAGAUUCGUACAGUUGGAUUCUAAAGAAGCACACAUUCUAAAGAAUACCAAUAGUACAACGGUAAAUUGGCUGGAUUCAAAAACAGAUUAAAUAACCCAAAACCUACAUUAUCAAGGAAAACAGAGUUAAUAGUGAUGAAAAUGUGAUGCCACUUUGAAAAUUCUAACUGAAGUCACUAUGUUCAACAUGCUACAGAUGACUGAGCUGCCAGCAUAAUAGGAAGCAGAAAAAAAAUGUAAAAUCAGGUGAUUUGCUUGCUGGGAGGAGAAGGUGAAGAGCAGGCUUUGCUCACUGGAAUGGCUGUUAGGAUCAGCUCUUCAACAGUUUUAAUUUCAGUUUGGCAAUGCAAAGAUUGUGGUCUCUACUGCUUGAUAUGCUCAUGUGUGCUGGACAGAUGA